CCUACGGGUGGCAGCAGUGAGGAAUAUUGGUCAAUGGACGCAAGUCUGAACCAGCCAUGCCGCGUGCGGGAAGACGGCUCUAUGAGUUGUAAACUGCUUUUGUACGAGAGUAAACGCAGGUACGUGUGUCUGUCUGAAAGUACCGUAAGAAUAAGGAUCGGCUAAAUCCGUGCCAGCAGCCGCGGUAAUACGGAGGAUUCGAGCGUUAUCCGGAUUUAUUGGGUUUAAAGGGUGCGUAGGCGGGAGGUUAAGUUAGAGGUGAAAUCCGGGGGCUCAACUUCGGAAGUGCCUCUGAUACUGGUCGGCUUGAGUGUAGUAGAGGUAGGCGGAAUGUGUGGUGUAGCGGUGAAAUGCUUAGAUAUCAUGCAGAACACCGAUUGCGAAGGCAGCUUACCGGGCUACAACUGACGUUGAGGCACGAAAGCGUGGGGAGCAAACAGGAUUAGAUACCCGAGUAGUC
rnacentral:rRNA from 1 species